UUUUUUUUUUUUUAAGCUUCUCAGAGGUGCCUGGUAUAGAAUUAUAGCGGAAAAACUGUCUGUUUCCCCUGUUCCAAAAUUUUCUCGGGAAAAUGACGGAAAAUUCCGAACCAUGAUCGUUUUCAUGUUGUGGAAAUGAGGGGAUCCUUUUGGGUGGACGAAUCUAAUCCGCCAUCUACCUCCAGCUCGCAUCCUCGCAUUCAUCCUCACCCUCCCUCUUCGCGCCGUCACAGUGGUAAUAAUGUGUUUCGACUGCUGGCACUAAGAGAGGUUUGCCCUCGAGCAAAGCAUGCCUCGAAAAAUUGGUGGGGUGAAUCCUCCGAUCAGCGUCUGGAUUCCCUUGAGCUUUUUUCUGAAUCAGCCCGAGAUGCCAGGCGCGCUCUCGUUUCAUGGGCGGAGGCAGAAUCUUUGCUGCAUUUAUCAGCCAAGUAUUGUCCGCUGUUGCCUCCUCCAAGAUCAACCAUAGCUGCAGCCUUCAGUUCUGAUGGGAAGGCCCUUGCUUCUACGCAUGGAGAUCAUACUGUAAAGAUUAUUGAUUGCCGAACUGGGAAAUGCUUAAAGGUCUUGAGUGGUCAUCGGAGGACACCCUGGGUGGUUAGAUUUCAUCCUUUAUGCCCAGAAAUACUAGCAAGCGGAAGUUUGGAUCAUGAAGUUCGUCUGUGGAAUGCAAAUGCUGCAGAGUGUAUAGGAUCUCGUGACUUCUACCGUCCAAUUGCUUCUAUUGCUUUUCAUGCUCAUGGGGAGCUUCUUGCUGUAGCUUCUGGUCACAAGCUAUACAUAUGGCAAUAUAACAAUAGAGGGGAGACAUCCUCACCAGCUAUUGUGCUGAAGACACGUCGUUCACUUCGUGCUGUGCAUUUUCACCCACAUGGUGCUCCAUUUCUCUUAACAGCAGAGGUAAAUGACCUCGAUUCAUCUGAUUCCUCAAUGACGCUCGCAACUUCUCCAGGGUAUCUGCGCUAUCCUCCUCCUACUGUAUAUUUGGCAGAUGCUCAUUCUGAUGGCCGCCUUGGCUUAGCGGAUGAACUGCCUUUAAUGUCCUUGCCCUUCCUUAUACAGCCUUCAUUUUCUAGAGAUGUUGGUAGAAUACCUCUGCAGCAAAAUGAUGGAGAUGUUGGUUCAAGUCGUAUGCAACAAAGACUUGAUCCUUUCACUUCCGUGCGGCUUCUGACAUAUUCAACUCCAUCAGGCCAGUAUGAACUUCUGCUGUCUCCGAUUGAACCUAAUAGCUCAUCUCCUGUACCAGAAGAAACUCGGACUGAUUCUUUAAUGGGUGACAUUGAUAACGAAGCUCCUCAAUUCGCAAUGGAUACUGUUGAGACAGCGGAAGUGCAGACUGUAGAGAGAAAUAAUUCCACCUUACCCUUUGGUGAUAGACUGUACUGGGAAGUUCCUUUUUUGCAUGGGUGGUUAGUUGGCCAGAGCCAAACGGCGCGCCACACAAUGGGUUCACUUAGUGGCUUGGCUCAUGAAAAUUUAAGAGCAUUUGGUGGAACAGAAAAUCAUGCUUCAUCCCCUGUAAUUCCAAUCAAUAUUGGCCAAUCUAGGGGCAGUGAGAGAUCUGGUCUGCAUUAUCGAUCUUCACGAUCCCAAACAUCAGCAACUGGGUCUGGUGUUGGUAGCAUGGGACGUAGUGAAAAUGAUGCUUUGCCUGUUGCUAGUAGAAUCCACUCUGAAUUUGCUACCUCUUUGGCUGCAGCUGCUGCCGAAGAAUUACCUUGCACUGUCAAGUUAAGAAUUUGGCCAUAUGAUGCAAAAGAUCCCUUUGCCCCUCUAGAUGCCAAGCUAUGUUGCCUAACUAUACCACAUGCUGCACUUUGCAGGCAUAACCCUUCUAUUCUUUUAAAUUCUUUGCAAUGUGCAAUUCAAGUCCUUCUAAAAAAUUGCUAUUGGCUUAUCUGUAUUUUCUAGGUAUAUGAUUCAUGAUUUCAUUAUCUAAACUUAAUUUCAUUAUCAUAUGAAAAAACAGAAUCAAGAUUAAAACAAUUGCCUUCCAUGAAUAUUUGUGAGCUUUUCAGAUUUCCUAAUUGUAAUGCUGUGGUAUCACAAACUGCAUCUUUCUGAGUUAUUACAUGUUAGAAUAUGCAUGCAGUGAAAUGGGUGCCCAUUUUUCGCCUUGUGGGAGAUUUUUAGCAGCUUGUGUUGCAUGUUUGCUUCCUCAUCCGGAAGCUGAGCCUGGCUUACAAGGCCAGGUGCUUCAUGAUAAUGCCGGGGCUGCGACAUCCCCAACACGACAUCCAAUUUCAGCCCAUCAAGUUAUGUAUGAGCUUCGGAUAUAUUCCCUUGAGGAGGCAACGUUUGGCUUGGUGCUUGCAUCCCGGGCUAUAAGAGCUGCUCACUGUUUGACUUCAAUUCAGAAGUUAAUUUGGACUUGCUUUUAGAUGAAGUGGCUACAGGUUCUUGCAUGUUUGAAAGAGGCAUAGCAUCAAUCUAAAGCCUAACUUAUGUUCACUACUUAAAAGCGUUGUCAUUGACAGGGAGACAACAGUACCGAUUUACACUAUCCUUGAGGUCUACCGAGUUUCUGAUAUGAAACUUGUAAGAGUUCUUCCUAGUGCAGAAGAUGAGGUCAAUGUUGCAUGCUUUCAUCCCUCAAUUGGAGGUGGGCUUGUAUAUGGGACUAAGGAAGGGAAGCUUAGGAUCCUUCAAUAUGAUACUUCUCAUGGUACUAAUUAUACAUCCUCUAUUCUUGAUGAGCGAAUGCUAGAGGUAGAAGCAAUGACAAAUGUAUGGUUACUUUCUUACUUCUCAUAUUAGCUGUAUUUACUUUGGUUAAUAAAAUGGCUAUUAUUGGAACAAGUAAUUGUUUUUAUUACAUUGGGAAGCCUAAUGGGCUUUGCCGCUUUGGGCACAACCCUCCCCCCUUGCCUAAUCUCCAUUCUUACUCUUUUUUAUAUCUACCAAUAUUUGUGUAUUUCUUUGCUUUUGUGCUUUGAUUGCUUAUGUUACUCUUGUUCUAAUGUAGGUCCCAACAUACGCUUUAGAAUGCUAAUCACUAGUGCUCAGGAGCCACGUGAGUUAUAACACUUAAAACAUUGUGAGUUAUAACACUUAAAUGUUAUGUUUCUGACUGAGGAAGAAUAUAUUGCAAGAUUCUCCCCACCACCCCUUUUCACCUUUGCAUCAUUUGGUUUUCGUUAUGUCCGCAAAAACUUGUAGUAGUAGACAGUGGCGGAUCCACCUUCAAAAUGGAAGGGUCAAUUGAACCCCUUUUCAUUAAAACAUUCCAUAUGCAUACACAUAUGUUUAAAUUGACCUCUCUUAAAUUUAAUUGUUAAACCUUUUUUUGAUAAAUAUUAAAGUAAAUUGCUCAUUUGUCAUGUUGACCUUAGAAAUUUUUUUUUCUAAAUCUGCCACUGGUAGUAGAUCUUUGAAGUGUUCCUCAUUAUAAUAUUGGUGUCCUGGUGCUAUAUAAUAUAGGUGCAUUAUUUGCACUAGUUAAGAGGCUUUUGAUCUAUUUACUUCUGCAAGCUACUUGUUUCUUAGGUUGGAAAAUCUUUGGAUAUUUAUUAUGUCUAGAAGGAUUUGAAAUGUUCUUAAUUUUGGUAAAUGUAGUCCAUGAUGACUGGUUUGAUUUUUAGAGAGAGCUGAUUAUAUACUCUAUCAAUGAUCUCUCUCUCUCUCUCUCU
rnacentral:misc_RNA from 1 species